GGAAGGAUCAUUAUCGUACAAAAUGUGAGGGGCAUGUGAGGGCUGUCGCUGACUCAAAGUCGUGCACGCCCGAGUGUGUCCUCUCGCAUAAUAAUCCAUCUCACCCUUUGUGCAUCGCCGCGUGGGCACCCUUUGGGAUCAUCUCGGAGGGGGCUCGCGUUUUCACACAAACCCCCCUUUUAAAAGUGUAGAAUGACCUCAUUUAUGCGCUAACACGCAAUCAAUACAACUUUCAACAACGGAUCUCUUGGCUCUCGCAUCGAUGAAGAACGCAGCGAAAUGCGAUACGUAAUGUGAAUUGCAGAAUUCAGUGAAUCAUCGAAUCUUUGAACGCACCUUGCGCCCCUUGGUAUUCCGAGGGGCACACCCGUUUGAGUGUCGUGAAAACCUCAACCUCCUUGGUUUCUUCUGGAGACCAAAGGCAGGCUUGGACUUUGGAGGCCUUUGCUGGAACCUCUCUCUUUUGAAGGCCAGCUCCUCUUAAACGAAUUAGCAGGGUCCUCUUUGCCGAUCCUCGACGUGUGAUAAGAUGUUUCCAUGUCUUGGUUUCUGGCUCUGUCACCUUUGGGACCCGCUUCUAACCGUCUUGACCUUGCGUCGAGACAACGUUCGAGCAUGUCUCCCUUCUCGGGAAGCUCCCUCGACCCCACGAACCCUUGACCUCAAAUCGGG
rnacentral:rRNA from 1 species